AAAAGAAAGAAGAAGAAAAAAGCAGGUGGUGCAGAGGGCCCUUCAUCUCUGACCUCAGAUCUCUCUGAUAUAUCGCUGACUGAAAAAGAAAAGAAAAUGGAGGAAGACCAAUCUUCUGACAGUGAUGGCUCUUACUGCACUGUAGAUGACAUGCCUAAACCGGCUGAAUCAUCCUCUCAUCUGAGCCUACCAGAAACUGAAACUGCUGAGCUAAAACAGCAUGCUGUCUCGGCUUUACCCAUAGAUGCUGCUUUAAGUCAGUCUGAUGAGCAGCCUAAUAGUAGCAAAGAGAGAUGUGUAGCACCUGAAACGACAGAAACAUCUAAGUUGCAGUUGACCCAAGAGCUGAUCAGCAUUAGCACUGACAAAGCUUCUCCAGCAGUGACCAUGGAAGUAAAUCAGAAAGAUGAAGAAGAUAAAGAAAAAUCUGAAAAUAAAGGACAAAAGAGUGUGUCUAAAAGAAAACAAACUACUCUAGAUCGAGAUGGUGAUAUGGACCGGAAUGCAAACAUAAAGAGCAGCACAGGAAAUCAAAGAGAGACCGAUGAUCAUGUUGUGGGAGCACUGAACAACCACAGCUCCAGUGGAGAUUUACCAGUGAAGGUUGAGCAGAGUCAGAAGCUGCAGUCUGCAUGUACCGGCCAGAAGAAUACAGCAUCUGAAAAACAAAAUAAAAGUGAGGAAGCAGAAACCAGUGAAGGCAAACAGCAUGUCUCAUUUCCUACAACGAAAAAAAAUCAAAAUCAGAAACCGCAGAAUUCAACACAGGACAUGGUGUUUGGCCCACAGAAUAAACCUAAGAAGAAUCACGAUUCCAGUGGCGAUUCUUCAGUGAAGGUUGAACACAGUCAGAAGCCGCAGUCUGCUUGUACAGGCCAGAAGAAUACAGCAUCUGAGAAACAAAAUAAAAGUGAGGAAGCAGAAGCCGGUGAAGGCAAACAGCAUGUCUCAUUUCCUACAACGAAAAAAAGAAUCACGAUUCCAGUGGCGAUUCUUCAGUGAAGGUUGAACACAGUCAGAAGCCGCAGUCUGCUUGUACAGGCCAGAAGAAUACAGCAUCUGAGAAACAAAAUAAAAGUGAGGAAGCAGAAACCAGUGAAGGCAAACAGCAUGUCUCAUUUCCUAAAACAAAAAAGUAAGCA
ensembl:lncRNA